AGAAGCAAGGUGCUAUAUCUCUGCAACUGGCAAGAAUCAACUCGGGAAUAGGGAUUUUCUCCACUAACAGUAUAUGCCACUCCGAACUCAAAGCUGGCUUUACUUGGGUUCAAACGGACUCUCUUUGUUUUAAGUCUAUGCUUGCUCCAUCUCAUUCUAACUAUCCUGUCUCUCGUCUGUUACUACUUACUUUUCUACUUACAGCUGUGUGUUUCAUUACCUUAAGUGCCAUACCGUGACUUUGCAUUCCAUACCUGAUAUGCGCUAUUGCGGGGGUCAAAACUAGAGUCUGAUACUUUCUUAUUAAAGGUGAAUUCUCACUUUGGAGUUGGUUUCCUGUUAUCACUGGCCAAAUUCUUAUACUCAUGAUUGGAUUUCUUCUAUUUACCGCUAUGAGUCUAUUACUGCUGGCGCUAUCACACCUUGAGUCCGAUACUAAUGAGCCCAAGCCCACUUAUCUUACUUGACAACUAAUCCACGAACUCCGACAACUGUACUAUUCUUUCCUCGCAUGGUGUGCGAUCAUUCCUUUACUACUUUGUUUAGUUCUUACUUAAAUAUAGCUUGAUUCCUCCGAUCACCAGUUCCAUUAUGGUAGUUAUGAGUUGGAUUCCAGAUAGAGGUUCCCGCCCAUUAAGUAAGUAUUGUUGGCAUUAGUUUGAUUCUUUAUUAGGUGUUAGAGGCACUAGUCUCAUUCUUUCCAGUAGUAGCUCCUUGUCUACUUGUCUGUUAGCACUGGUUCCAAUCUUUCUUUCAAGUGAUCUUAUUAUAACUACAUAACUACUGAGUUGGAGGAAACAUUCGUACAUAAUAACUGGUUAUAACAAUUCCAAAGUCAUUACAAUUCCUGUUUUUGGCUCCUGUUAUGAGCAAGUCCUGUGUUUGUGAGCUCAAUUAAUAUAUGUUAAUGGGGCUAUAAACAAGUCCUGUGUUCUGGGCGGUAGGAGCCUGUGUUAAACGGUAGCGAGUGAAACGGCUUUGUACUACUAUUAUAAGAGAAUAAAUAAGUGAGAAAUCCACUACUGGGUGAAUUCCGUAUUUAGGGCAGUAGCGGGAGACUCUAAACAAGGUUAUUGGGAAUGAGAUAAAGAGAAAGUCAAGUCGUAUUUGAUGUUCAGAGUUAUAGGCUAAACCUUUCAAUAAAGAAAUACUCUUAAGGAUGACAGACUAGACGCAAGGACCUUGGAGUCAGGAAAGAGAGAAUAGAACGGACGCUUAGUUUCGCUGCCCAGCACUACCUUUUAUAGAAUGGAAUUAACAACUAGUGCUUAGCUAUUAACUAAAAGAAAUCUCACUCAUAAUAGUAAGUAAAGCACAGGUAUUAAACUCAACUAGAAUAAGAAGAAGUAAACUCAUCAAAGGAAUAGAACCAAACUCGGGGUAACAAAACGGAUAUCUCACACGGGCCCUAACGACUGUAACUAAUAAGUUGCAGAGUCGAGACUCCCGCACAGAGACUAGAAUGCGUCUACUUACUGACAAGAUUGAAACAAGAAACAGGCAAUUGAGCUACGGAUAAAAAACACUCAACUAGUAACUCCGAGGGCUUUAAGCACUAUCGUAAAGAAGGGCUAACAGGACUUCCUAUACAGCUAUAGGGAGCGAACUACUACUCCAAUGGGCUAAACUACCCUACCGCUACUCACUUUCCUUUCAAACUUAUACUAAUACAGAUAGGCAGGGGAGCUCAAAAGCACUACUAACUAUAAGAAAGAAACGACAACUUAGAAAUAAAUAGCAAUAAGACCUCUAAGCUCAUACACUCGUUCUCCUAGACUAGACGUACCAUUCGGAUUACGUGCUAGACAGAUUAGGGAUUCACGAACAUGGGUAAUAGCACACAUAGAAGGCUUGGAACCGCAUUCACAUAGAGAGAAAAAGACUUAUUACAUAACGGAAUUACUAAACAGAAUGCAAAGAAUCAAAAGGCUUUCAGCACCUUACUUAUACACUUACACUUAUACACUUAUACACUUCUACUAUCAGAUUUCUAACAAUUGCUCACGUGAAAGCCUUUUCUUUUCGGUGUCAAGUCAAAGAAAAGAGUCAAAACUAUAGCAAUGUUGGGGCCAAUCGUUCUAUUCUUUAUCUUGCUUGAUUUCAGCCUUCGAGUAAGGAAUUGGAUUUAUUUAUCCUCCUUUUUAUUGCUAACCUCGGCUUGGCCGACUUUUCCCUUCCAGUAGUUGGGAUACAUUAAUUUCAGGGCGAAAAGCUUACCCAACCUUCUACCUACCCUUUUGGAAAAGGCAACACUUGCUUAUGCCCCACGUUUUUCUUAUCGUUUUUGGAGAGGGAAACAGUCAAAUUGUGGGAUAGACUCCUGUGGAGGGUGAGGAAUAAGCUUUCCAAAGUAUAUUUCGAAUCCAAGAGCUCAACACCCGCUUGCUUUGUUCAAGAGCUUCACCUGCAUUUUAGGAUUCUUUCUCUUUCUUUUGGCUUCUCUCUUAGUUUUCUUAUUGGAAGUUGGAGUUCCAUUGUUUAGCUCUGCCCCAAGACUUUCCAGUUUCCUUUCCUUUUCUAGUUUCCUUUCCUAUAGUACCCUUGUGGUAGGGUUACUUUCUUUUGAAUUUCAUAAGAUAAGCGCGCAUCCCAUUUUUAGCAUGAGUUUGUGCCAGCAGUGAAGUAAGGUUUCAACGAGCAGUCAGUAAGGCAGGGAGGUUAUUGACUCUAUUGUAUCAUACAUAUGCGAACAAGCAGUGAGUCAGAGAGCUUAGGUUCUUCUUGACUAUAGAGGUUAGAUAGAUUCCAUUCAAUAAGCAAUGGAGUAAGGAGUUCGGUUGGGUAUACCUAAUCAAAGAAUAAUAAUAAAGACUUCAAGUACAGAAUCAUUAAAGUACGGAGACGGCCAAGGAAAACUGGAAUUUCAUCUUUCUCUUGCGCAUCCUCAUAUAAGCAUAGGAACUCAGCAGUCAGCAAAUCAUCAAUUGAAUCUCUCUCUUGCACCGCACCUAUACUAUAUGAUUGGAUUUUGCCAACCUCGACUUUCCCGUUAGCUGAAAACAACGUCUUGCUGUCCUCCCGAACUCGACGUCGACUACGAUUAAAGGCUUUAACACCAUCUUUCGAUUGCUUUCCUUGAUACUUCACUGCAUCUUCCUUCGUUAACACUUUCCUGGUUGACGUUAGCGUCCUUGCUUUAAGACUUCAUUUCACGCCCCUGGUUGUUAUCGACCUUUCCUUUCUAAGACAGCUAGUAUAGAAAUGUGAUCUUAGUUAACUAACCUUAUUAUUAUUUUGUAUCGCAUUUACUUAACUGUCGGCGAGGGCGAGUACUCUGGGUGGCGAAGCAGAGAAUAAAGGUAAAGGUAAGCAAGCAGUGUUGCAUACUUCCUUAAUAACCAAAGAUGAACUAUAGAUUGAAUUUAGGAAAGCAAAGCUGUAGUUGCCCACUUUCAUUCACUCUCUGGGUGAGCUACUACAAUUAUCAGUUGACUUGCUAACCCAACUAACAAACCCAUCUUGAGAAAGCCAAUCCUAUACUGAAAGAAUCAAGUCGUUUACUUUUAACGAGCCCUUGAGUUGAGAAGGUCGAUGUAAUUGAUGAGAUGAGAACCUGCUCGACAAAAAGGCCCGGCAUAACAUAAUAAUAAUAAUAAGAUUAUGCUUGCUUACUCGCUUGCUCACUUUCUUAUAGUUAGUAGUAGGGUGUCCUUUCGAUUUGAACUGACUUACAGGGUGGAUUUUACCACUAGGCUACUCUAGUUGAACUGGAUUUCGCUACUUCACUAUAUAUCUAUAUAUAUCUAUAUCCGCUUAUUAGACUCGCGAGCAAACGCCUGAAACACUCUUGUUUGACUCUCCUUUGGUCAAGAAGGGGCUGGGUAGGGCUAUAGGUCUUUUCCUUCCCCUGAGGACUGACUCCCACUCAUCCUACUUUUUCCUAUGUACUGCUAUCACUUGUCUGCUCCAUAUCCUGUGCUUCUGCGCUCAACUAUAAAGAUUCCAAUUCAUUCUUUCUUAUUAACUAUAAGGAUUCUAAUUCCAAUUCUUAUCUUCUUAUAGGAUAGGACUUCACUACAUCAGAGGUUAGAUUAGAUGCCCGGGGGCUUCCCUUAUCUUGAUUCUCUUGCUCCUGUACUGUUACUGAUUUAUCUGCUCUAACAGCUGACCCAACUAACUAUAAGGGCCUAGACAAUUUCAUUCAAGGGUUGAUGCAAUCGGUAACUGCUAAAUCCUCUUUUGAAACAGGAGUCAACUGAUACUUACACAUAGCAUCUUUUCUCUCUUAUUGAAUGAAUGGAGUACCUUCUUAUUGAAUUGAGCACCUGGCAUAGAAACAAACAAGUAAGGAAUUCAUUUGAACCAGGAAAACAACUACUAGCCAAGUAGACAAUAAAGAAGAAAUUUGCUAAGAACUCACUAUGACCAAUUCCUAGCAUUUAGUAUAAGAAACUACAGCAAGAUGGUUAUUACCCGCCAAGUAACUCAGCCAAGGAACUACUAGACAAGCAAGUCAUAAUUCCGUUAUAGGAUCUGAGGCAGAAGAGACCUUACGUACUUUAUUCUUUUCUUACCAACACCCGGGCAAGCUAUUACUAACGACCAAGGCCUACCGGUCUGAAACUCUGAUGUAACUAUUGUCACUAAUAAGAUACUCAGAAUAAGGGACCGGUCUUCUACUAAUAAGAAAAAGGGAUCUACUCACUGGUCUUCCACUCUAACCAUUAACAUAAGGGCUGGGCUACUACUUUGACUUGUCAACUUCAGACUAAACUAUACUUUCCACUUGACCUCUAUCCUCUACCGCCAAGCUACUAGGACAGGCAGGGUCUCUUAACUGUAACCAUACUACUCGGACAGGAAGGGUCUAUCAACUGCCUCAUUUGCUUUGUGAAAGAUUCUACCUUGCUUGCCGAAACUUCUUAUAGAGACCUAGACUUGUGAAGUUCAGGAAGGAGUGGAUCCAGUAGAGAUCUAUUAGUAAACAAGCCUAUCCUACCCGACGUCAAGCCAAGCACCUUUCCCAACUUUGCCCCCAAGCCAAUCACCUCUAUUGUCGACAAAGGCAAGAACAGAAAGUGCAGAAUGGAAUUGCCUACCGCAACUAAGGAGUCAGAAGAGAAUUGCCUAGGAACUGUUUAAACCCCGGCCUUCUGUAGAAGAGUCCACUUAUUGUCCUGCCUUCCGCUUCUUAUCCUUAUUACUCCUUUACCUGGAACGGAUUCUGCACUUGUAACUGUUUAUUUUAUUCCCCUUCCAGCGCACAACAAACUCUGAAUUGACUUUACUAGUGAUGAAACUACGAGUACUAGCAUGGAAAUGAUAUCUUCUUUCUUUAUAGGAUGAAACUAGAACUGGCUAUUCUUAUGCUUACUUGAGAACGAACGGAAACUUCUCCUUCUGAUGCUGACUCUAUAACUACUGGAUCUGCUGCUCCGUGUUAUUACAAUUCCAGUUUGAGGGUUUGGAUGCCCAGAAGAUAGUACUGCCUUUGAUGCCCAUAAGAUGAGACUGCCUUUGAUGCCCUAAGUUCAUGAGUUUAGGUUAUUGUAAUGGUCGGUGGGUGUCUAGGUGUUUGGGCUGCAAGCGAUAAGUCUUGUUCCAGAAGUGCUUGUCCUUGUGCGUUCAGUGUCUUUACGAGGUUCUAUGCCAAGUUCCACUCAUAAUUGCAUUUAUUAUAUUCUCAUAUUGAUACUAGCUUUGUUAAGAUUUCACUAGUACAUUAUACUACCUAGGUUUGUUUGUUCAGAUUUCACUAGUCCGGGCUUGCUAUUAGUCUCUUCUCCUUCAACUACAUAUUCUCCUGCGCCAACACCAGGACUUUCCGCUUCAUUGCAAAAGUAACUAAGUAAGAUCUUGAUCCAGGUAUAGAUCUACUAUACUAAGGUAAAGACCACUCACUCUAUUCCCUUUCCUUCUGCCUUCUGUUAGCGCUAGGAAAACACUUCAUUCAUUUCUCACUCCUUCCGGACUCUCCAACUGAUCUCCUACUCAGAAUCAAGUAAGUAUAAUCGACUUGCAACUACUGGUAAGAAAAAGAAGAAUGAGCCAGACAAAGAGGGGUAUAAUAGAUAUAGGCAACCAACCCCCCGACUCUCUACCGCGCAACACAAACGCAACUGUAGUUAUAACAAUUAAGGGAUUCGAAUCAACCUAGCAGUAAAGAGAGUCAAUAAAAGAAUACAGGAUAUAGGUACGGCCCAGCGCCUAAGCAGUACAAUCAGAGAAUGUAAUCAGUGCUUCUCGUACUUUUAUUGCUACUAAGAUAAAGAUAAGAAUAUGACUAUGGGCAAACUCACUCGAAACUAAGGCUUCAAUGCUGUCCACAAAUUCUGGCUUGACUCACCACUCCCUGACAUACCUUUGGCUUUCAUCCUGCUACUACCACCUAUGAUCCUUACUGCUCUCGCCCCUAACUCCGAGUAUGCUUAUACUAACUUGAAGUCCUGUUUGUUAGCGAAAGUUUGACACUACGCUCUCUCCCCUCCCACUACGAUGUUCUCAUUACUAUGUUGUAGUAUGCCUUUCCCGCCUCUGGGUCUGCGUUGAGAGUUUUGUAGUCUGCUAAUGUCCCCACUUUUUCUUUAUUAUACGACUAGAUGUGCCCCUCCUCUAGUAUUCUGAGUCCAGUUCGCUACCUAUGCUAUUGUCUAGGCUAGGCUACCCGUGCUAUUGAUACAAUAUAUGUGCCCAUUUAUUGAUACUAAUAACUAUCAGAUUGAACACUGCCUAGCAAUACUGAACUUCCAACUUGGAAUUCGCUAGUACUUAGAAGACCCGCCCUACAAACCCAGACUCGAACUAAAGCCCUCCAAUCUUUAUUCGAACAGGCACUCCCGAUCUCAAAACUCCUUAGCGCUUGUUUGAGGUCUGCUUCUCUAUACUCUCAAAUUGGAAUCACCUCCCCACACAGAAAGAAUAGAACUGCCGCCUCUCGUGCCUUAACUCACAGCUGGGAACCACCCCCUACUAAUACAGAAUAUCAAAACACUGCCAACAAAACCAGACUUAUUCUGAUAACCCCUACUGCCUUCAAUACCUUGUUGAGUAUUCUCCUCCAUUGGAUUCAAGUUAUCAAGAACUGAUCUAACAGCUGAUUCAGUUGGGUCUGGCAGCUGAUUCAGUUGGGUCUGGACCUGUCCUGUAUUCAUAAUUUAUGGAAUCUUUAUUACCCUAAGAGUAUAUAAAUUAGAGUCAUCUUUAUUACCUUUCUAUAUACUCCACGAUACGAGCUUCUUCCCCUGAACCAUACUUUUACAAGCCAAGCACUGAACAAGCGUUAGAUGGGCAUGAGAAAAGAAAAGAUUAGGCUUCGGCGUAUGAUCCCGGUCUUUCAACUCAUUAACUUUCUUAAUCGCCAACGUAAUAUAAGUUAGCACCGAACACCUUUCCUUUCGAACAUCAUUUCCUGGCACAGCUUAGUAUUCUGCUUCCUCACCCUUACCCUUACAUCGAUCCUUACUCGUCACUUAAAUAAUCUACUUUACUUGUUUAAUGUCUUGAUAUCUUAAUUCAAGUGCAGAGGUGAAACUUCUUAGAUCAAAUAAAUAGGGGUUAACUACUAGGUUAAGGCAAUAGGAAGCUCGGCGGGAAAUCUUUCUAGGGCUUCAGUUGCAAGCGGAGCUCUAGCUUUGUAGGAGAGUGAGAGUCAGUUUGUGUGCAAGUUCCGUAUUUAAGUGCUGGUGAUGGGAAUGAAUCAUGAAUAGAAGUAUCAGUUCUUUGGGUAGGUCUCCAGUUCCAGUUAAGUAUAUAGUAGCAAGUACAGUUUCGGGAGCUUCCGCGCUAAAGAGAUAGUCCAAUUUCCAUGAAUGAGUUGUACUAACAGCAAGAGAUGGAUCAAAUUAAUGAUUAGUUUACUGCUCCACAGCUACUAGGUCGUUAAUGUGAUACGGCGCUCGAAAGAAAGCAAUAAAAGGUUUACUUGGCGCUCGAUAGCUUCCCGGUUGACUUUACUCGCUCAAGAAGGAUUCCUGGGGCCCGCUUGCUUCUUUUGAGAAACUUUCCACAGCCUCAGAUCCAGAUACAGCAUAUAGUUUCUUUACCUACUCCCGUAUACGUAUACAGCAUAACUCUUUUCUUGUAUCGUAUUCUUGAAGUUUUUUCUAUUCCCGUAGCUCCUAUAACUGAACUUCCUACAUCUAUCUUUGAAAGUUCCUACUAAGGAUAUACUUCUUCUGCUUGCUUUUGCGCUUUACUCUAAAUCAGGUGUGAAAGCUCUCUUUAUCUAAGUUGAACCUAUGGGAAACAACUCGAAUGAAUCCAUCAUUUCAGACCCGACCGACCUCUCUUAAGGAAGACAAAGGAUAUCUAUCAAUUUCAUAGUAAUAAGACCAGAUAGUAAUAAAUGAACUAUCCGCAUCAAUCCGAAAGAGAGAAAUGAAGAGGAACGAAAACAUAGGGCAAGACUCUCCGUUAUAGGGAAGAUGGAAUAGUUUGAAGCCCAAGAGCCGUUAUAGGGAAGAUGGAAUAGUUUGAAGCCCAAGAGUUCAAUCGUAUUUGGACUGGACUUCUGACAAGCUAAAAAAGCACCUUUUCGACAACUAAUAAAUCAAGCGAAAAAAGCUCCUUCGGCUUUCUAGAACGAUACUGCUUUUAUACCCGAGUACUGGAAUCAUGAACCGCAAGUAAAACGGGGACGGGAGGAAGGAAAGACCCGCUCUCUAUUGGUUUGACAGGGCUUUCUCGGUCAGUUAACUGGCAUAUAAAGUAAUAUAUAGGGGAGCUUACUUUAGGUGUAAUAUAGGGGAGCUGACUUUAGCCUUCGCCUGCACUUCUUUGGAUUCCCCAUCUUUUCUUUUCUCUUAAUUAUCAAUCAAUCCCCAUCCUUUAUCUCUGCUAAAAGGUUGACUUUCCUUAGCGGUUACAAGGGCGCGCCUCUGUAUAAGUAAGUAGUAAGAAGCCCUUCCCUAUGUUUUAUCUUGCUGGAUCCGCAUCUUGAUCUCUUCUUUCUUAAAAGGUUGAAAGCGUGGCAAAGUAAGCUUAGCCAUCCGUUCCAGAGUGCUAUUCUGUCUUCCCCAAUAGGUGCUUUCUGGAACAAGAUGAUUCAUAAAGUUAUUAGAGAGACCUCCGCCAGAACUGCACGUGCAAGUCCCAAUAAACGGGGUUUUGGAAACUUGACCAUCUAUUCAAUUACAGACGAAACCCCUAUAAGUCACGUACACCUUUUGAUCCCCCGCCCGGGUACUCGUCAGGUCUUGUGGGUACCCAUAGUCCCCUUUCCUUUAUCUAUCGCUCUAUUCUCCUAAUGAGUUUCCGUUUCUAGUUUACAGUUCAAUUGACUCUUAGCACUAUAAUCAAUGGUCAGCGAAUUCUAUGUUUUCCUCUAGCUCGAAUCUCAUGCCCACUACAAGGUGAAGUUGAAAGGGAAGCGUAGCAAGCUGCAAUUAGGUAAAGAAAUGAUUGGUAACGAUUCCACAUCUCUAUACGAUCUAGGUGUUGACGAAAGUGCAUCUGGAACUAAAGUCAGUCAAAGUAUAGGGGUUCCCCAACAGCAUCAAUGAGUUCUUAAAGUCAUGAGUAAGCUGCCCUUAAGUUAAUGGCGAGAGUAAGAUGUGAGUCAGCGAGUUUUUACCUUACAGCUAUAGAUUCAAUUAAUUAUGAGUUUGACUUUGACUUGGUGCACAAGAAAGAAAGAAAGAUCACUCCAAAAACAGGUGCUCGCAAGUAUGGUUUGCGCCUGCAUCUAAUCGUCUUUGAAUUGAAUAUAUCUCUGACUCUGAUUACCGAGAUCUAUAGACAAGACAAGAUUACCUUCUUGACCCGAACUCAAUUACAAGGGACAGACCUUUCUUUACUAACUUGAUUAUUUACUGACCUAAGCCAAAGGAUAAGUAAGCUUAGGGCACCUGCUCCAUACGGGAACUCCAUUCAAUAUUCUAACCAGUUGUUACCGCCAAGCUUAGGGAUGAGCAACUACGUAGCGAAUGAAAAGAUCAAGACAAAGGCAAGCACUGAUUCAAGGUCUACUUUCCUUCCCGCAACACAAGCACCCGAUACUCUCCAGAACCGUUGGCUGCUGACUUUCCUAUGAUAUGAUUUGAUUGUUGAGUAUGCUGUUGGGUUACCUUCCAGUUGAGUUUGAAAUGCUUUUCUUCCAUUCUACAAGCGAGUGGAGUUCGCCCUAUAGCAUUAGUGAGCGGAACUCGGAACUCCACAACUUGUUCUUUCGCCUAAGCUUGUUUCUUGCUCUGUUACUUGAACUCGCUAGCACACCCCGAGGUGCCUCAAUCAUUUCCAUUCUUUUGCCGACCUCGACUCUAAUCGCACUGCUCCUACGUCUACUGAUUCUUUUUCAGGUUCCGUUGCAAGUGAAGAAACAAAAACGUGACUUGGAGUUAUCUUUAAUUGAAGUGAAGUGGAAUCUCUCUCUUGAUAAGUGGAAUCUCUCCCUUUCUUCAAGAUACAACACUCGCACCUUACAUCAUUCUGUCCUCUCCCAUAGACAAGGAAAGGAGCAACAGCAGAACCCUCACUCACUGAUAAAGCGAACGGAACUUUCAUGCUUGGACCACACCUCGCUCGUAAGAUAUGAUUCCCUGACCCCAACUCGACUAUCUUCUUAUUCUUCGAGACGAACAGCUUACUCCCUUGAUAAAGCAUCUAAUCUGGAAACAGCUUCUUCGGGAGUCGACUUCCACAACUCCUGUUUUCGGGAACUCCACGGCUAUAAUAUUACCAAGAUCUAUAUUAUACUCUAUGAGCUUCUUUCGCUUUAGACUCCUCCUUUCCUAUAGCCUUAACUCGCACUGAAAGAGACUCUAAGACAAUACUCGCACACAAUUGCAACUUGGACACUGAAUCACUUACCGCUGAUAUUUAGAUAAAGGUUAUUUACUGAGGUGAAGGCAUCUAUCUGGUCUGGCGUGGCGGGAAGGCAAUAGUCCGCUCUACUUCCUGAAACUAAGGUGCUGAAAGCCUUAGAUCGUCCCAUUUUGGGAGGUAAGAAAGAUUCAAAUGAAAUCGAUAGGCUUAUACCUCCUAACCUCUGUUAGAGUCCAUUUAUCCUGUUUACGAGGCUUUGCUUUCAGUCAGAGAUAAGAUAGCUAGUUACAGAUGAUAAGGAAAGAGCAUUGGGCUAGUUUCAGAUGAUAAGGAAAGGGGAUAGGUUGAGUUUCAGGAUUAAGCUAAUUUGGAAUAGUGGAAAUAGAGGUUGUAUUAAGCCAUUGUGAUUCGUGCCUAACUGACUUUUGAAAGCAGACAGAUGUCUAUUCAUUCAAAAGAAAUACUCGCAAUCCUCGAUCAAAGAGCGCUUUGGUGAUUCAAUUGCUAGUGGAGUUGUAGUUGACUCUUUAUUCCAUUCUACCAGAAUCUGCCCUAUUUCCCAGAGCCUUAUUCUAGCGUAAGAACGGAUUCUUCAUGACAUUUUAUUCUCGAACAAAGAGGAGCGCAUUCUGUACGACUGCUUUUUACUGCAAGAGCGGUAACAGAUGAUCUAGCAAGAGUGGUCACUGAUUCAAUUGCUAAGAGGGCAUUCUCUCCACCAGCUCAUUCCCUUCUCCCUUGAUCGGAUUCACUGUGCGUGGGAUAUCUUCCGACUAUUGAUCCUUCCUUUGCCUUUAUUCCCGAACUCUUAGAUCUAAAUGCAUAUUAUAUUACCUUCUUUUGCUUUGCUCUAAGAGCGCUUCCUUUUGAAGUAUAUAUUCUCUCUCUAUCACUAGCAGCUUCACUUAUUUCAAGGAGUCUAUACCAAUAGUGCCACGGUCCUCUCUCUGCUGUAAAUCCAAUAGUGACGAUAUCCCCGAUGUUCUCGAAUGCGCCCUUCCUUCUCUUUGCUUUUUAUUAGAAUGCCCUCUCUCUCUCUUGCUGCUUGAGAAGGAGCUAAUAACGGACACUAUUCAAUGUCUCCAGUAAACCAAUGCAUUUCUUUAGCAUCUCGUGAGUUGCAGUUAGAUGCGUCCUUCCCUGUCUUUAGCAUGAAGAGAAUCUUGCCAUCUUGGCGAUGAGAACGAAUAGGAUCAGACGAAUACUAACCCAGCAGUGGAAUAAUAGGGUCUUUGCGCGCUCUUAGCAAGUGAAUCAUAAGGAUGUUCGGGAUAAUUGAGUCAGAUGUCCCGGCAUCCCAUUGAAGACGAUUACUUCUAUUGGCUUCGAGCAAGGAGAAAGAGUGGAAAGAAUAGGUAGGACAAGUUGCCCUAGUUACUUCUUGACCAUUAAAGAUUAGCAUAUGGGCAAUUGACUUUAAAAGAGCCAUCCCUAUGCCAUAGUAUAUAAAGGUGAAUAUGUCCCGAAUGCAAUAAAUAGAAAAGAUGAAAAGAAAAGGGGCAUCUCUUAAGCAUCCUAGCAAGUAGCUUACCUUCUCGCCCUGUAACUAGUAUCGGCAAGUGCAAUUUUCUAUUCAAAGAAUAAUCUCAUGCCCUUUCCCGUGAUGAUGCUUUGUUAACUCUCCUUACUAGAGGUCUGCUUGUAAGAAAACCCUGUAUCCAAUUGGUCACAUGAAGGGUAGUACCCGAAUCCGUCCACGUGGCGGCGUAGAUAAAGAAUAAGAAAGGCACUUUUCAGGCACCAGGGCAUAGUGAUUACAUUCCUUCACACCAGAAAAAGCGAAGCAAAUGUUGUAUCACAUGACGGCGAAAUCACUCACGUGCAGUUCGUUCUCAGUAGCCUACGUACUUUCUCCACCAAGGAAUGAAUCCAUGUUAAGAACAAAGCCCAGCUCACUAUAAGAUAAGUCCUAUAAGCAAUUCUCACUAUAAGUCCUAUAAGCAAUUAGUCAAAAGAGGGCAGUUGAUCCAAUGCAAUCUCAUUCACUAGAUGUAAACCUCCGAAAAUGCGAAAGUAGCCCUCAUUCCCUCUCUCCUUUCUCACCAGGGGGCCUCAUCUUAUUUUCUUUGAAUGGAUAGCAUGUACAGGGAAAUAAUCAAGUAGAUCACGGUACCUAUUGGUAAGAAAAGUCAGUCAAUAAUCUAGUAUUCUAACAAAGAGGGAAAAGAACUCAGAAUCUUCCUAUAUUCCUGCAUAUCGACUCUAUUCUUCAAGAAAAAGCAAACACAACAUAGUAAUUAGAUGCUUUACAUAACUUUCCUAUACUGAACUACCGUAGGUGCCUGGCCUCGAUGACAAUGAAAUGAGAACUAGCUCAAGGCACCGGCAAUGAAAUUAGGACUUGCUUAUCGUCGCAACAAGAAUCUGCUUAGCAACUUGAAAUCUGUCUUCGCUCAUAUCUGCCCUACUUAGUGUGACCAAUAUGUAUCUCCUAAGAUUGGAGCCCACCCCUCACUUUGUGGAUUUUCAUGUUUCUAUUUGGAAUCCUUUGUUGAAGUUGGAAUUGACUUUUGGCUUUUGGGCUAAGAUACACAAAAAGGUCUUUAAAGAAGCGAAAAGAUGACUCCUAAAGGAUAGCUCCUUGAUUAUUGGGUUCCAUGCGCCUCCACGAAGGGGCCCCCAGGCUUUCAUAUGCUUGUACUUGUCAAUUGAGAGUGUAAAGACACGGUGGAGCAUCCCCGCCAUGGAGAAGGUAGCUCCCAACUGGAUAGGUCACUUGUCGAGUCGGUGUGAAAGGGCAUCAUCAGAAUGCUUUCUCGGGCUGCCCAGCCCCUAUACUAGUUUCUUACAAGAUUGAGGGAGAGCUAACCCGCCAACACACACUACAAGCCUGACUUGGAAAGAAGCCAAGCCUUCAGAAGCGGGGAAGUAGAAAGUGAGUGGAAUGGUAGCUUUACCUCGAUACCAAAGUCCAUCAGUAUCCGAGUGCGAGUGCUGUGUUGGGGUGUUCAAGUAGAGUUCUCUGCUUUACUGAAUAGUGCUUGGCGAAAGGGAAACUUCUUGUCUUGCUGUAGCUCGCUUAGAGUAUCUUUAUGUUCGAGGAUUGCCUUUCCCCGUAGAGCUCCGUUCUUGGUGAUUGUGUGGCGGUUCCAUCUUUAGGAGAGUGAGAGUCAGUUUGUGUGCGAGUAUAGGUUUUCUGUGUUGGUGAUGAGAAUACAUCAGCAGUGGAAAUGUCAGCAGUAGAGAUUCCAAUUCCAUGAUGACUUUAGAGUUUCGAAACCAGUCCGUACUUAUUGAUUUGACUGUUUGACUUGACAAGAAGGGAAUAUAUUAUCGUAAAGAAGGGAUCGGUACAGUAAUUAUAGAUAUGAAGAGGUGUUGUAUCAAGAUAUGAAGAGGUGUUGUAUCAAGGAAGAGUAGAAAGGUCAGCGGGAAAGAAUUCCAGAAAGAAAGGAUAGGUCGAAAAACGGUAUGAUGCAGUGUAUUUUCUUGCGCGUACAAGAGAUAGCAGAGAUAUAUUAAAUGAUUACUGGAGUAUGUAUGGUAACCCUAUCUUCCGUCACUGGUGGACUGUAGCACAGAAAGGCCGAAAGAAGCACCUUUCUUAGCGCGCUUUUCAAGCGCUUAGCUUCAGCUAGCAGAGGGGCGUCCAACAAGUCAAUUCCGUUGGAAGCUUUUUCCAGAAAUGCAAAGUCAUGCAAGAAGGCCCCAUCUUACAAAUGAGAAGUGACGGGCUCCUUUCGAGAUAGGGAGCGAUUGUGGUAGUCGAACAUCUCUCCUCUUCUCUUAGCGUGCAAAGUGAGCUUGCAUGCCUCCUUAGGCGCAUCCAUCUUUCAGAGUUUGUUUCACGCUGGCCUAAUUAAGUCAAUCUUUUUGUAAGCCUAUAUAAGCAUCGGUUUAGUAAAUAAGCAAUUCUUUAGUGGCGGCACCGGAAAGUACUUAGCCAGGGGGAGGUUGGUGAAAAAUGAUGUACGCGGCGUUCAGAACCAGCCUUGAAGUGAAUGAAUUAGAAAGAACGAAGAAGUCAGGAAAUAAGGGAAGAACUUGAAAAUAACUCAAAAGAAGGGCUUGCUUUUGGAGCUGCUUGAGAAGGAGCUGUGGGACUGAAGGUAGUGCUAAUGCUAGCAGUUGCAAUAGGGUCAGUGAAAACCACUUUUUGAUAGAAGUAAGCAGGUGCUCCCAAAAUAGAAGUAAGUGCGCGCAAAGCAUGGCGGUUCUCAUUGGGAUGAUCGUUAUCGCUGUAGCUUUUACUAAUGGUGUAACAUCUAAGGAAUCAGUACAUAGAAGAGUCGAGAUUAGUGGAUAGAACAGUCUCAGGAAGAGGUCGAGAUAAGUGGAUAGAACAGUCUCAGUGGAACUACAACAAGUAACUGUCUUUCAGUUCCCGAUCCCAGAGUUCAGGUAUUCUCAUUAAUCUACCGAAUUACGGGGUCAGGUCAGCCCAUUAACCAUGGGAAAGAGAGGCUAUCACGGCCUAACCAAUAGAAUGGAUACAUUAUAGCUCCCUUUACACCAUACGGCCUUCCCUUGACUCUAGAGGGCCCUUAUUGCUAAACCUUCGGUUCUUCACCCCUAUUCCUUACUUCUACUUAAGUCGAAAAGGGAUUAGCUAGCCGCCUUACUUAGAUCUAUGAUACCUCGUUUCCAAGUUCUUCCUAAAGAGCAAUCGGUUCCUAGUGCAAACUUCAAUCUUGGAGCAAGGGUUAGUAGGCUAGGAUCGCGCAAGGUUAGGAAGGGCGGGAAGUAAUAGAGCCAGAGCUUUGGAAGAAACAACGUAAUGAUUCCUAUGAUAAUCAAUAAGUAAAGCAAUGAUCCGAACUAAACGGUAAGAGGUGCUAUUGCAGUGACGAGUUACCUUCGGGGUCUUUCCGUGAUAGGGCAAGGCAAUACAAGGGCCAAGCUACUUGGUUAGUCGUUACUUGCCUAUACGCUUGGCCAGAGUUUGGGUACCUGAAAUCAAGGAUAAGGUUUCGUUCCUUUAUUCAAUCAAGGAUAAGGUUUCGUUCCUUUAUUCUUGGAAGCCCAGCCCAUGUCUUACCUGAGGAUUGGCAUAUCAUAUGGGCAUGUCUCUUACCUGAGGGUUGGCAUAUCAUAUGGGGUGGGCAGUACUCCCUGUUUCCAAUUCCGGCAACGUUCUUCUUUCUUGCUUGACUCGGUAGUCAACGUUCUUCUUUCUUGCUUGACUUGACUUCCCGUGCCUUUGUCCAGUCCUAUAUCAUCCUAUCAGUAUAUAGCCGAUUGGUGGAUUACUUGAUUCGUACCAUUUUGAAGUCCAGAAGACUGACGCGCAACACUCACACCCAAAUUAGGAACAGUAAUAACUUCCUUGAACUGAGUCAGAGGAAAGAAUACUGUAUGCUUGAAGGUAAAGGAAAGGGCAGUGAAGAAUGAGUUGGCUCUUGAGACUAGAGAAAGGCAUGCAAGCAGGAUGCACCAAUUCCAAAUAUGCACCACUCAGUCUUUGCCCCGUCAGGAAAUGAGUACUCCUCUAAUGGUCCCUAUUGCCCGGAUCAGCCUUGGGUUCCGUGAAAGAAUGGAUUUGAUAACCUUAUCUAUAGCAAGAGGGUUCAGUGAAUUUAGUGGUGAGUUAAGAUCAUGCCCACGUAGCGGUUAAGUCUACAUUCGAUCUACCACCUGGCCAAGUAAGAGCACCAUAUUGUAUCAGAAGCUAGCCCGAGUAGAGUGGAAAGAAUAGGAAUUGAGCUAGUGCUGUCCGUUCAGGUUAUCACUACAACUUCCUCUGUUGUCUUUACUGUCUUGAAGUUCAUAAUGGAAUGUUCUAGAAGAAGAGCGGGUAGCUUUGCAAAGAGAACAAUACGAUCUCGUAACCGUAGCGCCAAUCCAAGAUAACAGGAAAGUAUCGGUUUAGGGUGCCGCUGUAACUCCUAGUAGUCGUCAAUGUGCCACUGUAGCUCAAACAAAGUCGUUGAGUGGAGCUCGCCGGGCAGUAGGCAGGUUAAUGCACUUAGUUUCAUUGCGUAACUCCGUUAGCGCACCUAUGGCUUCCAAACUAAUAUUGACACCCCAACCACCGGAAACUAUCAAGUAAUAAUUUCGGAUGGUACACUACUUAUGUCAAUUAGAGUAAUAUAGCUUCUAUUACACUCUGGAAUGAACUUGUUGCUAUUAUGGAAUGUUGCUUGAUGCAGAACUCUAAAGGGCCACACCCCGACCCUAUACUUAAAGGACAAAGACACCGCACCAAUGUUUCUACUUAUUCAGCAAACAAAACAUGACAACCCUUUGCAUUUUGUGAAUUGAAGUAGAGCGGGAGAUAAAUAAGAUCUUAGAGGUCUGGUCUGUCUAUCUUAUUAGAGGCUAGGCAUCAAAGCAUUGCCAGGCCCCUGUACUAGAUUCCUCUUCUCGGCUUAAAGUAAGACACCUGACCUAUACUUCACUUUCAGAAUGAGUUGGGCCUAUAGGAUUCUGAUCUAGCUUAGCUUGGGACUAUUAUUCUCUAAGUACCCCAUUCUAUUCAAUACACUGCUUCUCUGGAAACGGAGAUGAUUCUAUUGAUGAUGCUUAAGAGUCUGAUCUAGCGUCGUAGGAUCCUUAGACUUUGUACUAGGCUUUGUGGUUAAUGCGAUACUUACUAAUAAGAUGAAUGGCGCUAUAGGUUGUCAAACAAAUGAACGAACGGUGCAAGAGGUUGUCAAACAGAUUCACAGCGCAAGAGGAUGUCCUGUGGAGUGCUGGCUUUGACUAUCUUAAUAUGCUAUGCGCACUCUAGGAGUGAGGUGAGUUUCCUAGAUGGAUUAUAGGCGGGCGGGUUAGUUCCAUUCAUUAUUGGAAUGGUUUUUGUUGACUGGAAGAUAAACUGUCUUGACUUAUCGGUUAAUGCUUUACGCGUUGCUGGUGGACUGAUUUCUGGUAAUGUUGUUCUAAUGCAUUUAGCCUCGAAAGAUUGACUUGUUUGCAAACUCCUAGAGCACUGUAGUCUGGAGCUCACGUGAGCACAACUCUAAGAAAGUGGAAUUGGAUUUGUUGCAAGCGGGUCUGAAAGGAGUAUACGCUUGGCCGGGGCUUAUGGAAUUUGACUACUUGUUAGAGCACCUAUAAGAGUCUGGAAGCGAUAGCACAACAGCGCAAGAACUAACUCCAAAGUGAUAGGCAGGUCGGUCCGGUUACAUACUAUAUUAGUUUAGGUUAAUAUGAAACCUUGUGCGUCGGGCAGCUUACUCAUAUUUCAUUCAUAUAGGGUGCAUGCCUCUGUCCUAUAGUUCUAGUUCAAGGGUAGUGUUCGUUCUUAUGCCCAUAAUCUUAUUCAAGUUGUGCUAAGGUUGGAAGCGCUAACAGAGUUCUUUUACUUACGCAUGAGGAGUUACAGCUUUCCCUUACAGCGAGAGAUUCAAUUCCAACAAACAAGGGAACAAGCGAGGUUCGGUUACUGAGUUAUAUUAGUUGAACGCUAUAUUCCUUUCUUUCGCCCUUGUGCCUUAGGGUAAGAUUCCAUUCCGCAUUUGUAGCUUGUUCAGAAGCCAUAAUCAGUAUAAUCAUCUGUGCAAGAGAAAGCACUAGGAUUACACUCGACUCGAACUCUCCUAAUGCAAAAAGUUCACCAUUUGAUUGGGGUCCCGCUUCAGCUCCUUAUCUUAUCGUGGAGUUACUGUUCUUUCAGAUUGAAUCCUUAUAUUCUAGUCGACCGGAGAAGAAGAUCUAGAAGCAGUCUCUUUAUCCUUAUUAAGAUUUCUAUUCUUGCAAUGGAAUCCGGGAAGAAUUGAUUGAGGCACUGGCACCUACCCCUGGAAAGCUGGGUUAAUAAAAUCAAUAAUAAAGUCAGGGUUUUGAACGGUAGCGGGGUGUCGAGGGGAGAGGUUCUGUUCUAGUUUCAUCCUUUAGAAGAUAAGUGUUUACAAUUCCAUAUUCUUUCCUAGCACCAAAGCAUCCUUUCUUUCUUUCCUAGCACCAAAGCAUACUUUCUUUGAAAUCAAAUACGAGUUCCAGAAGCAGACGUCGUGUUAAUGCGAGUUUUGAGUGAAAGUUCAGCGUCAGUGAAAUAGAAUUCUUCACUAAAAUAGGAUCCUGUUUGACGAUUCCCCAUUUUCUUUGUUUAGUACAUAGGACCCGGAAAGAGAUUAGUGCAUUUGGCACUAGAACAGUACGGAUUUGCACUAGAACAGUACGGAUUUGGUUUUAUAGUAUAGGAAAAUAGAUCAUGUCAUACGCCCAAGAUAGAAGCAUACUAGCAAAUAUCAUAUAAAUAGAGAACAAAUAAACAUAUGAUAGAUAUAAGUAAAUAAUACCAGGAUGAAAUGAGAAAGUCAGAGUUGCCAUCAAUCAAGGAAGUUACAUGGGAUAGGAGCCUAAGCAAAGAAGGAGACUAUAACUCAAAUAUAUAGCGAUAAGCCCAAGAACACAAAUACAGAAUGAUAGCCCAGGAAUGGGAAAACGGAAACAAUAAAUAACCCUCUGGGCGAUGAGUUAGAUCCAAUUAUCCCAGUAGUACCCUUAUCCUUCAGAGUUAGAUCCAAUAUUCUAGUAGUCUUAUCCUUCUACUGAUCUAGCUUGAGCCUCCGCCUCACCUGCUCCAUCUUAGAACCCCAAGAAAUACUACUCAAGAUCUUGAAAACUUAUAUCUAUCUUGAAAACGACUUCUUCACUUGUAACUGUUGAUUCUCGAGUCGAUUCAACGACGACACUCCUUCUCCCGUACGUACUAUUCUUCUUGACAUUUACUAUUAUUCUUGACAUCCGGUCCAUCUAUCUAGCAAUGAACUCUUUACCAUUGGAUGAAACUAUUUGAGAAAACUAUAUAUAGCACCGACACCAUUACCUAUAGCACCGAGCUAUCACUCUAAUGAUUAUUUCUCGUAGAAAACAUAUAUCUUGACUCUAACCUGUCAUACCUAUUCUAUUGACUCAAACUGAACAUACCUAGGCGAUUGACUCUGCCUUUCCAUACCUAUUAUACCGGCCCCAACUUUGAUUAUUAUUUCCAAUAGAAAAAACAUAUUGGUACUCCGCAUAGUGAUUGAUGAAAAUGAUGUUGACACCUAUCAGAAAGAUGUUUGCUGAGCACCCGCACCAACUGUUAUCAAGGGAAGAGAACACCAUAUAAGUUUGUUACCCAAAAACGGAAAGAAUCACUAUUGCCUCUUUUCGCCCUAGUUUCCCUAAUCAAAUACUAUCAAAUAGAGUCUAAAUGAACAUAUGAGAAAUGAUGAGGUAUAAGAAUCAUGUGUGAAAUACAAGAAUAGAAGUGAUGUUAGUAAUACUUGGAGUUAGGAGCGAGAGCCUUGUUACCAAUAGUUCUUUUCUUUCUAUUACUGGUGUCAAUUCCGACUAUGUUAUUUAAUUGCUCUUUAUUCUCAGUGCAAUUCCUAUUUAUGAGUUGGCAAAGGCAAAGCAAGGAAUAGAUACGUUAUAAUGAGUUAUUCCGGUUUCUCAUUUGUGUUUCUUGGUUCCAUUCCUGUUAGCAGUGAUUUCUGUUUAAGAGCUAGAAGCACAGGAAAGAGAGGCAGGCUCAUAAGUUGUAAAGUGAGAUCCGAUUGAAUUACUGGUUUUGAGUUCCGGUAUGGAAGUUAGUAUCGGUAGACUUAUGGAUAGGGGAGCGGGAGAUUUCGAGUUAGUAGAAGCAGUUGUUUCAGCCUCGGAAGCUGUAAUGGUAGUCUCGUAUGCUGUAGUUAGAUCCUUAAACAGUAAUGAAAGUAUAACAUAGGCCAGAGUUCAAUUCAUUGACUCACCUGGUUAACUCUAUUAUUCCACGCUUUUCUCCUUUGGCUUACUCCAGUUUGGUUCUGCUUAUUGGGGUGGUUUUAGAGCCUUAAAAGUUGUAGGUCAUAGCCUGUAGUCAGUGCAUUCAAUUCUGUUUUCUUAAUAGCUGAAGUUUGAACCCGAAGUGAAGUAAGCUUCCAGUUCAUGGGCAAGCAUGCAAAGAGCAAAUGCAGACUUAUGGACAAGAAUAUAAGAUUGAGAUUCCAGAGAGGCAGACUCGAAACAAUGGAUGUAAGAGCGAAAGAAGCAAGUAGGAGAUUUCCAACUAGAGAAUAAGAACGCGAGGGACAACUAGAAGACUAGAAACUAGCAAAUAAGGCUUGGAAUACCGGAUUUAGCUCUUUUGCUGUGUUUUAAUUGUUAUCAUCACUAGUUGCAUUGUUAGGGGCGUUGUUGCCUUAUUUCUACUAUCAUUAGGGAGUUAGCCAGCUAGGUAUCCUCACUUUUUAAGACAAGGAAGGUGAACUGCAGAACAAGGGAGGUGAACUGCAGGCUUUAGGGCAUCGGUUUCAUUAUUUCCUUAGUCCAAUUCCCUAUCAUAAGUAGAAAGUCUUAUAAGUAAGGAACAGUGAACUUCUUUCCACACUAGUAGCAGAGUUAUAAUAGUAAUAGAUAGAGUAUUGUUUACACUAGGCUUUCAGCACCUUGUCUUUGUGUUGAUUAUAAUAAGUAGUAGUUCCAUUCCGAUUAUCUGUUAGUGACCGCCUAUUCCGUAUGCACUGGGUCAUAUACCGAUAUUCUUAUCCCCCGGGUUCUAUUACCUAUGAGUUGACUUCUGAAAUGAUGACUUGGAUCUACCUACUCGCACAAUACUAGCUAACCAAUACAUCCCAUACUAAUGUCUUGCUUAUAAGUUUGUAGGGCCUUCCUUUCCUGUCUACAAGCCAAUAAUGAACUCAAUGCCAACCAAACCCUAGAUCCAGUAUGUAUUCCACGGCUCCCAGCCCUUAUCCACUAGCUUCUUUUUGGAGUCUGUCCCUCCCGUAUAUAAGUCCGAAUCACUCCUUGGGUUUUAAUACUCCUGCCUGGUAUCCUUGCUUCCACAGAUCAGUAUACCGAUCCAUUAGCUAAGUCUACCCUCCCUUACUUCGCUGUCCAAGCCCUAUUUCCAGCUCUUCCGCUCUUACUAGUCUGUCCCUCACUCUUGUAUUGCUUAGGCACGUUCUGUAUUACCCAACCUGCGACUAUAGGCCUGUUCCUGACAUUCCAACAAGUAAGGAAUACCAGGUACGCCCGGGAUAAGGAAACUCAGACUAAUAGCUCUCAAUCUCAUAGUAACGCUUAAAGAACGAAAACACAGCUAAAGAACUAAACCUAGCAGUCAAAGAAUAGAAGCAAGCUCAACAAACACACAUAGUCAUUGAACUCACCUCAUAAGUAUAGUAACUACACUAAAGUAGUUGACUAAAACUCCAAGGUAAGAGAAUUAAGGACAUUCAUUGAAUAAUCGAACUCAGUGGCAUAGGAAUAAGAAGCACCUACCCUCCAACACAAGAAUCGAAAUCAUGAGUAGGAAGAAUGCAAGGCAGGAAAGCAAUAAUGGGCUAUCAAAGGGGACGAUCAUAAUUGAACUCAUUAAUAAUAGAAUGGCAUGUCGAAUCAAGGAAGGAAAAAGCUGUUAGAAAGCCAAGUUUAGAAGACCGCAAGGGAAGGUAAGGAGUGAGAAAGAAAGAAAGUAGGCCAGGAGCUCCACUCCAAGUUGUAUAGUAGAGUUCUUGUGCGAGGUAAAGUAGAUAUCGACUCUAGAAUCAGCUGGAUCCGGAUCCGAAUGAGUAGACUAUAGUCUCAAAUAAGAUCAAGAAUAUGGGAAAGGUUUGUAAACAAGAGAAUCCGCAGAAGCUGAAUGACCAGUUGCUGUUUCAUCCCGUGUUUCAUCUCAUAUAGAAGCAUAAGCGAGAUCCGUUCUCAAGUCAGCUCUAGAAUAGACAAGAGAAGCUGUUUCAUCUGUAUUAGUUGU
rnacentral:lncRNA from 1 species